rnacentral:tmRNA from 1 species
AAAACAAUAGACGAUAUCUAAGCAUGUAGUAUUCUCGAGCGUAGUGCUGGCGGACGCGGGUUCAACUCCCGCCAUCUCCACCA